AGCGCAUACGGUGGAUGCCUUGGCAGUCAGAGGCGAUGAAAGACGUGGUAGCCUGCGAAAAGCUUCGGGGAGUCGGCAAACAGACUGUGAUCCGGAGAUGUCUGAAUGGGGGAACCCAGCCAUCAUAAGAUGGUUAUCUUGUACUGAAUACAUAGGUGCAAGANNNNNNNNNNNNNNNNNNNNNNNNNNNNNNNNNNNNNNNNNNGGCCAUAGUGGGUGAUAGCCCUGUACGCGAAAAUCCCUUUGCAAUGAAAUCGAGUAGGACGGGGCACGAGAAACCUUGUCUGAAUAUGGGGGGACCAUCCUCCAAGGCUAAAUACUACUGACUGACCGAUAGUGAACCAGUACCGUGAGGGAAAGGCGAAAAGAACCGCGGAGAGCGGAGUGAAAUAGAUCCUGAAACCGUAUGCGUACAAGCAGUGGGAGCCCACUUUGUUGGGUGACUGCGUACCUUUUGUAUAAUGGGUCAGCGACUUAUUUUCAGUGGCGAGCUUAACCGAAUAGGGGAGGCGUAGCGAAAGCGAGUCUUAAUAGGGCGUCUAGUCGCUGGGAAUAGACCCGAAACCGGGCGAUCUAUCCAUGGGCAGGUUGAAGGUUGGGUAACACUAACUGGAGGACCGAACCGACUACCGUUGAAAAGUUAGCGGAUGACCUGUGGAUCGGAGUGAAAGGCUAAUCAAGCUCGGAGAUAGCUGGUUCUCCUCGAAAGCUAUUUAGGUAGCGCCUCAUGUAUCACUGUAGGGGGUAGAGCACUGUUUCGGCUAGGGGGUCAUCCCGACUUACCAAACCGAUGCAAACUCCGAAUACCUACAAGUGCCGAGCAUGGGAGACACACGGCGGGUGCUAACGUCCGUCGUGAAAAGGGAAACAACCCAGACCGUCAGCUAAGGUCCCAAAGUCAUGGUUAAGUGGGAAACGAUGUGGGAAGGCUUAGACAGCUAGGAGGUUGGCUUAGAAGCAGCCACCCUUUAAAGAAAGCGUAAUAGCUCACUAGUCGAGUCGGCCUGCGCGGAAGAUGUAACGGGGCUCAAACCAUGCACCGAAGCUACGGGUAUCAUCUUUUGAUGAUGCGGUAGAGGAGCGUUCUGUAAGCCUGUGAAGGUGAGUUGAGAAGCUUGCUGGAGGUAUCAGAAGUGCGAAUGCUGACAUGAGUAACGACAAUGGGUGUGAAAAACACCCACGCCGAAAGACCAAGGUUUCCUGCGCAACGUUAAUCGACGCAGGGUUAGUCGGUCCCUAAGGCGAGGCUGAAAAGCGUAGUCGAUGGAAAACAGGUUAAUAUUCCUGUACUUCUGGUUAUUGCGAUGGAGGGACGGAGAAGGCUAGGCCAGCCUGGCGUUGGUUGUCCAGGUUUAAGGUGGUAGGCUGAGAUCUUAGGUAAAUCCGGGAUCUCAAGGCCGAGAGCUGAUGACGAGUGUUCUUUAGAACACGAAGUGGUUGAUGCCAUGCUUCCAAGAAAAGCUUCUAAGCUUCAGGUAACCAGGAACCGUACCCCAAACCGACACAGGUGGUUGGGUAGAGAAUACCAAGGCGCUUGAGAGAACUCGGGUGAAGGAACUAGGCAAAAUGGCACCGUAACUUCGGGAGAAGGUGCGCCGGUGAGGGUGAAGCAUUUACUGCGUAAGCCCACGCCGGUCGAAGAUACCAGGCCGCUGCGACUGUUUAUUAAAAACACAGCACUCUGCAAACACGAAAGUGGACGUAUAGGGUGUGACGCCUGCCCGGUGCCGGAAGGUUAAUUGAUGGGGUUAGCGCAAGCGAAGCUCUUGAUCGAAGCCCCGGUAAACGGCGGCCGUAACUAUAACGGUCCUAAGGUAGCGAAAUUCCUUGUCGGGUAAGUUCCGACCUGCACGAAUGGCGUAACGAUGGCGGCGCUGUCUCCACCCGAGACUCAGUGAAAUUGAAAUCGCUGUGAAGAUGCAGUGUAUCCGCGGCUAGACGGAAAGACCCCGUGAACCUUUACUAUAGCUUUGCACUGGACUUUGAAUUUGCUUGUGUAGGAUAGGUGGGAGGCUUUGAAGCGUGGACGCCAGUCUGCGUGGAGCCAACCUUGAAAUACCACCCUGGCAACUUUGAGGUUCUAACUCAGGUCCGUUAUCCGGAUCGAGGACAGUGUAUGGUGGGUAGUUUGACUGGGGCGGUCUCCUCCUAAAGAGUAACGGAGGAGUACGAAGGUGCGCUCAGACCGGUCGGAAAUCGGUCGUAGAGUAUAAAGGCAAAAGCGCGCUUGACUGCGAGACAGACACGUCGAGCAGGUACGAAAGUAGGUCUUAGUGAUCCGGUGGUUCUGUAUGGAAGGGCCAUCGCUCAACGGAUAAAAGGUACUCCGGGGAUAACAGGCUGAUACCGCCCAAGAGUUCAUAUCGACGGCGGUGUUUGGCACCUCGAUGUCGGCUCAUCACAUCCUGGGGCUGAAGCCGGUCCCAAGGGUAUGGCUGUUCGCCAUUUAAAGUGGUACGCGAGCUGGGUUUAGAACGUCGUGAGACAGUUCGGUCCCUAUCUGCCGUGGACGUUUGAGAUUUGAGAGGGGCUGCUCCUAGUACGAGAGGACCGGAGUGGACGAACCUCUGGUGUUCCGGUUGUCACGCCAGUGGCAUUGCCGGGUAGCUAUGUUCGGAAAAGAUAACCGCUGAAAGCAUCUAAGCGGGAAACUUGCCUCAAGAUGAGAUCUCACUGGAACCUUGA
rnacentral:rRNA from 1 species